UUAGGUUAAGCUACUAAGAGCACACGGUGGAUGCCUAGGCGCUAGGAGCCGAUGAAGGACGUGGCGAACACCGAUAUAGCUUCGGGGAGCUGUAAGCAAGCUGUGAUCCGGGGAUGUCCGAAUGGGGAAACCUAACUGGAUUCAUCUCCAGUUACUCACACCUGAAUACAUAGGGUGUGCAGAGGCAGACGAGGGGAACUGAAACAUCUAAGUACCCUCAGGAAAAGAAAACAAGAGUGAUUCCGUCAGUAGCGGCGAGCGAACGCGGAACAGCCCAAACCAAGAAGCUUGCUUUUUGGGGUUGUGGGACGUCUCUUUGGAGUUACAAAGGAGUAUCGUAGUUGAAGAGGUCUGGAAAGGCCCGCGAAACAAGGUGAAAGCCCUGUAGAUGAAAUGAUGCUCUCUCCGAGACGGAUCCCGAGUAGUGCGGGGCACGUGAAACCCCGUAUGAAUCUGCCAGGACCAUCUGGUAAGGCUAAAUACUCCCUAGCGACCGAUAGUGAAGCAGUACCGUGAGGGAAAGGU
rnacentral:rRNA from 1 species